rnacentral:rRNA from 1 species
GGGGGGGGGGGGCAAGCGUUGUUCGGAUUUACUGGGCGUAAAGGGCUCGUAGGGCGGCCAUCUAAGUCGGGUUGUGAAAUCCCUCGGCUCAACCGGGGAACUGCGACCGAUACUGGGUGGCUUGAAGCCGGGAGAGGGAUGCGGAAUUCCAGGUGUAGCGGUGAAAUGCGUAGAUAUCUGGAGGAACACCCGUGGCGAAGGCGGCAUCCUGGACCGGUCUUGACGCUGAGGAGCGAAAGCUAGGGUAGCAAACGGGAUUAGAUACCCCGGUAGUCCUAGCCCUAAACGAUGAAUGCUUGGUGUGGCGGGUAUCGAUCCCUGCCGUGCCGUAGCUAACGCGUUAAGCAUUCCGCCUGGGGAGUACGGUCGCAAGGCUG